AUGGAUAAUAAACCCAGGGGGAGCCCCCCCGAGGCGAGGUCUGCGGGCUGGGUUGGCUCUGUGCGGGGCAUGCAGCCCACGCUGCCGAGGGGGCUGUCAAGGCAGGCUGAUCCCAUGGCUCCAGAGCAGCCCCGCCCUAGACACACAGCGCCCAGCCCUAAAUUCCCCUCCGUGCCCAGACAAAGCACUGGCACGGCCGGAGCUGGGCGCAUCCUCUCGGGAUGGGAACGGAGCAUCCCUCCUCCCAGUUGGUGCGCCAGCCCCAGGCCCUCGCACAGGUAUUUCCACAGCCUGACGUCAGUGCUGCUCCCAGGGGAAGGCUUAUUCAGCGAAAGGAGCCGCGGCUGCAGCUGCGCCUCUGCAAAGGGCUGGGCUGCGCCCCAUCCAUCCGACCACAGCCCUGGGAGAGCAGGGGAAGGGCUGGCAAAGGCAAGACGGGCAGCGAGGAUGCCAAACCCCCGCGGGGAUCCAGCGACAGGCAUCCCUGGCAGAGAGGGAUGCUGUCAGGCUGGCUGCAGAUGCACUUCAAAGCAGCUGCAGACACAAAGGAAUGAAGAAAGAGAAGUGCAAGCAGAGGAGCCUGGUAAAUGGCUGCAAACAAAGCCAAGAGCCAUGAGCCAGCAGCCUCAUCCUUUCCCCAGCUCCUCACCAAGUGGCCAGGACAUGGAAAAGGUGGGAGGACAGGCUGAGGGUUUCAUGCCAGGCCAUAACCCAGCCAUGCUGCACUGCCCAGCAUCUGGGGUGUCUGCCCGUGCCCCUCAGCCCCUGCCCAGUGCCUGCAGAGCCCCUCAGCCCCUGCCCAGCCCUGCCCUGGGGCAGCUCCUCUCCCCCACCCCGCAGCCUGACGCUCACACCCUGAUUUGUGGCCAAACGUGUAUAUUUAGCUUCCCUGCAGCAAGGCAAGGCAAGGCAUCCCUCCAGCUCGCUGGGCUCCCUCCAAGAGUGCAACAAAGCCAGCUCAGCAUGGCCUUGCUGCAGAGCAGAGCAGGGAAUAUCCCCGGGGGGCUCCCACUUCCAUCCAUGGGAGAAACAAGGUCUGCCCCGGGAUCUGAGCCACUCGGGGACUGUGACUCCCAGCCACAGCUCUGA
rnacentral:lncRNA from 1 species